GCGGAAUGGCAGACGCGCUAGCUUCAGGUGCUAGUGUUCGCAAGGACGUGGGGGUUCAAGUCCCCCCAUCCGCACCA
rnacentral:tRNA from 1 species